GUUCUUAUGUGUUCCUGUAGUCCCAGCUACUUGGGAGGCUGAGGCAGGAGGACUACUUGAGCCCAGGAGUUCUGGGCUGUAGUGCACUAUGCCGAUCAGGUGUCUGCACUAAGUUCAGCACCAAUAUGGUGACCUCCUGAGGGUGUGGGACCACCAGGUUGUCUAAGGAGGGGUGAAGCAGCCCAGGUCAGAAACAGAGCAGGUCAUGUAGUGCUGCAAGUGCAACUAUAAUUUUUUAAAUGGUUUACAGAAAAUAUAAAAAAUGAAAUGAAACAAACAGAGCAGUUCAAAACUCCUGUGCUGAUCAGGAGCAGCAGCCACUGCACUUCAGCCUGGGCAACACGGUAAGACCUCAUCUCC
ensembl:misc_RNA Metazoa_SRP Metazoan signal recognition particle RNA